CUUAACAUAGAGAUUGACCUACAAAGCCAUCAAACAAGUCAGCGUGGGAGAUGAAUAAACAAGCCCGGUCGUCAGAGUUCUGGUGUCCUGUUACUCCGUUUUCUGCAUGGCAAGCAGCGGUCCAGGCCUCUCUCAUCCCUCUGGUUCACAGGUCACAGGCUACAAGACAUACCUCCAGUGCUCGCUUCUACACCAGCUGGAGUUUCUUCUCCGUGCCAGAUGGACAGUGUGCAGAGAGAUGUGGAGCACACUGAGUAGGAAGCAAAUCUGUGCUCAAGGAACAAAGCAGGACCAAGCUGGGUCGGAAAGGACACCUCCACUGGUGAAGGCUGGAAAGUGCAGUGGCACGACCAUAGCUCACCAUACCCUCCAACUCCUAGGCUCGAAUGAUCUUCCUGCCUAGGCCUCCCAAAGUGCUGAGAUUACAGGUGUGAUCCACCACACCCAGCCACAGAGUUC